AUCAGGUGGCAUUAUUUGUCCAUUUGCGAGUCACCGAACCAAUGGAUUUAUCAAAGGAAAAUAAAUUCCAAUAGUGAAGCGUUUAUAAAUUCUAUUCGCUCUUAAAAUAUUUUGAAUAUUGAAUAUAAAUCAUAUCCUCAUGUUUAAAGAUUAAUAAGAACAACAUUUAUUUCAAAGAUGGUGAUGUAAAGGGAUACGAAAUAUUUUACGCAGUGUUGUGAAAAUUUUUCUGAUUAAAGUGAACGUCGUGAAAAGGAGUGCAAGGCAAAAGUAAAAGGCAGCAGACAGUUUGCUGAACAAAGUGGCGCAUAGAUUGGAAAGCCAAGCAAAAGCAAUCGACCGCCAUGGAGGAGAAACGAAUUGCUGACUAUUUUGUGGUAGCUGGUAUGCCAGAGCAUCCGCAGCUGUUGCAGGAAAAUAUUUUCAGCGAAUCGGGUCAUUUGAGAGCGGCUAAUACCAUAGAACCCAUAACCGAUAUUGGUGUAUACUUCCCGUUACUCGAUGAAGAGGUGCCCGAAGGCUACGAGGUGUUGGAGGCGACGCCUACAGGACUGCCAGCGAAUCUCAACCAUGGGUCUAUGCGUACCACAGAAUGUUAUAUUUACUAUAGACGUGGUAAAGAUCGACCGCCUUUAGUGGAUAUAGGUGUACUGUACGAUGGUCAUGAACGUAUAAUGUCUGAUGCUGAAAUUGUCGCAGAGACGCCUGGUGGCCGCGUAGCAAAUGUUAACAAUUCUUCAUCGAAAAUAUUUCUUACAUACCGACGAGCACGACCGGACAUGCCCUGCAACGAAUUAGUGGUCACAGAUUUGUGUGUGAUCGUACAAAGCAAAGGAGAAAAACCACCACAUGCAUUUUGCCUUAUCUACAAAACCCUCAAUAAGGGUUACAUGGGCAGCGAUGUCUAUUUAUGCUACAAAAAAUCUAUGUACCGUCCAAGAUUAAUCAGUUAUCAGCCGGAAAUAUUAUUGCGGUAUCCGACAGUCGAUCACAAUGACUUUCCCUUAAAUUUAUGUCCAAGUGUACCCCUAUUUUGUUUGCCGAUGGGCGCGUCCUUAGAGGCUUGGCCUCACGUGAGCGAAGGAGAGAAACGUAAACCCAUCAGUCCGGUGUUCAGUACUUUUGUGCUGACGGUCAAUGAUGGCACGUACAAAGUCUAUGGUUCCGCCUUAACAUUCUAUGAGGAUUUUGAGGAAGAAGCAUUGACUGAGAAGCAGCGUGAGCUGUUGGGAUGGAAUGAAGCGUUUGCUAAGCAAAAUUCAUUGCAUAUAAUUAAAUCUAUUUGCCUUUUGUCACAUUAUCCAUUCGGGGAUACUUUCGACAGAUGGCUGCGUUACUUACAUCGCCUAGCAGUGUAUGGUGUAGAUUUACCAGUAGCCAUCGAACGUUAUAUAACACAAUUGCUGGACGAAGUACCAUUUCCAGCACCUAGCAUACACUUACAACUCUCCAGCGAGUCCAAUGACCGCAUUCUGCUUACGCAACCGGAAGACUCGCCUCUGCCACGUAGCGGUGCGGGUUUUCACAUGUUGCUACAGAAUUUAGGAACUGAUAACUGUUUGCAUGUCUUGUUGCUGGCGUUAACGGAGCAAAAAAUUUUGAUACACUCAUUACGACCGGCGACAUUAACUGCAGUGGGUGAAGCUAUUGUAUCGCUGUUAUUUCCAUUCAAAUGGCAAUGCCCGUACAUUCCACUAUGCCCGCUGGGUUUGGCGGAAGUCUUGCAUGCGCCGUUGCCCUAUUUGAUUGGAGUCGAUUCAAGGUUUUUUGAUUUAUAUGAACCACCGCAAGAUGUAACUUGCAUCGACUUAGAUACGAACACAAUCAGCUUGUGUGAAUCACAGAAGCAUUUAACGAUAAAACUUUUGCCUAAACGUGCUGCACGUAUUUUGCGUCAAAGCCUCAACGAAUUGGAAGCUCUUAAAACAACUCACAUCGAAUCAACUAACAGCCUUGAUAGGGAUUUAAGAAAGCGAAAGCGUGAGCAAGAUCUCGAACAACGAAUUCAAGAGGCCUUUCUGCUGUUCAUGGCAUCGAUUUUACGCGGCUAUCGCGACUAUUUGACGCCGAUAUCGAAGGCGCCCUCUGUCGGUGCCACAGAUCCAAGUGCCUUAUUUCAACUGAAGGCGUUCUUGCGAUCACGCGAUAAGGCGCAUCAAAAGUUCUUUGAACUUCUCAUGAAAACUCAGAUGUUUAUACGUUUCAUUGAAGAACGUUCUUUCGUAUCGGAUGGCGAUCAUGGACUUACAUUUUUCGAUGAAUGCGCUGAAAAGGUGGGCGCAUACGAUGACACACCGUCCGACUUGCGUUUAGUUGACUGGGAAUCUGGGCAGAAUAGCGAACGUACAAAGUACAUAUUUCCACCAGACAGUGUAGGACCCAAACAAGAUAACUCCGGGUUCGUUUACAACUAUGCGAACUUCACACUGAAUCCGAGUCUAUUGAAAUCGUCGAAGAAAACUGCGUUAUCGCACUUUUUGCAGCAACAGUUAAACGGCUCGUUGGCGCCGGGAUCGCCUAUAGCACGCCGCACAAAACACGAAAUUAAGCUCUCGCAGAAAAUGGCACGACGUUGUCAGAUGCACCCAGAGGCGUGGUCAAAAUAUCUGCUGGCGACAUGCUAUUCUCUCUACUUCCUCAUACUCCCGUCCAUGGUGACCGAUACGCGCCAGGCCGGCAAAGAGCACGACAUUUUGCGUGCAGCCUACGACAUGUUGGUGCGUGCCUCAAAACUUAAAAUAACCUGUGAUGAAUUUUGCUACCGUAUCAUGAUGCAAUUGUGUGGCAUACAUAAUCUCCCCGUAUUGGCGGUGCGUCUACACUAUCUGAUGAAGCGCUCGGGUGUACAACCCAAUGCGCUAACCUAUGGCUUCUACAAUCGUUGCGUGCUCGAGUCGGAAUGGCCCAGUGAUAGUACAACGCUUAGCCAACUACGUUGGAAUCGCAUUAAAAACGUCGUACUCGGCGCGGCGCAUUUUCGACGCGCUGGCAAGAAGCAUGCAGCUAAGAAACCACUUUCAGCAUCAUGCGAAAAUAACCUCAGUACAUUAGAAACAGUUGACGGCACAUCACGUACCAGCCUUGAUUCAUCAACGUCUUCGCAUAUGGAACGGGGUGCUGGCGAUUCUCAUGCGUAUAGCGCCACACUGCUGGACUUCUCAGCAUUCGAUAAAUUGCGAGGCAAAUUAGGUAGCAUUGUGCGCCAGUCGGCGCUGGCAAUGAGUGCACAGGACCCAGCUGGUGAUGUUAUCAGCUCGACAGCGGGACUAUUGAUAGCAGGUGACAUCAAGUCCAGUGGGGCCAUCGAAAAAUCAGGCAAUGACAAAAGUGCGCCACCUACUUCCACAUCGUCGCCGCACACACCGAACAGUCCGCACAGCCCCAAUUGUGAUCUAACCGGGGUUGGCGCUAGCGGCAAGCUACAAUUGACGAAGGCCGAGAGUUUCGGUGGUGAUGCACAGCUGCUGAACAAAUUGCAACGCAAGCAGUCGCUGCCCACCGAAACAAGUGGGCCACGUUAUAAAAUAAUGAAUAUCGGUGAUGGCGAGGAAGAUGUAGCCGAUGAAGAGGAGGCAUUGAAGGAAGAUGAAAUGCUGCAUGAAAUUGCCAGUUCUCAGGAAGAGUUGGACUAUGCGACGGCUGACGCACAUAUGAGCGGUGAAGAUGCGCACGCACAUCUUUUACAGAGUCCCACAAAAAUAUCACCACGCACGCCGGUCACUCAAAAUGAUCCGCUAGGCGCGUUAAAUGAAGAACUGAAAGGUCAAUGUACGGCUACAAACACCAAAAGCACCAAAGAGGCAACAAACGAACAACACGCCGGCAUGAAUAACAGCACUAUGUAUACCGAUAAGCCCAUAUUAUUCAAAGGUCAACGUAGUGCGACCUUCGACGAAUCGACGCAUUUGAGCAAAAGUAUGCAGCGAUCGGAGACAAUGCCUGGUUCAAGUGUAGCGUCGAGUUUGGCCAAUUUCGGUUCAUCGUUGAAAUUCAAUUUCGGACGUUAUUCACCUGCACGAUUCUCAUUUAAGAAAGACAGUUUCAAGCCCACCAUUAUUAUAGAAAAUAUUUCCAAUAUAAGUCCCAGUUUAACGGGUAAAAAAUCGAAUGAGAUCAUUCAAGGUAGCCUGAGCAGCAUAAAAUAUGCUGCCACUUCGUUAACCCGAAAAUUCGAUGAGAUUAAAGGUGCGCUCUCGGCCCAAACGACACCGGUUAAAACGCCUGGCAACGUUGGACAUCCCGAGGGUGCUGAUGAAGAUGUGAUUACACACGAGGAUGGCACGUUGAAAAUACGUCGCGUCUCCAGCGAUUUGGAUCCUUGGGGACGGCUGAGUGAAUCGCGCAAAUCAAGCUAUAAUAAUUUGGUGCCGUUGGGCGAAAAUACGUCGGCGUUAAAUUUGAGCGCAUUUCCAGUGCUACCGGAUAAUUUGUACUCACCCAUUGCGGAUUUAGAAGAGCGCCCCGAGUGUGACGUACUCAUACAAAUCACAUCCUGUUCCCAAUGCCACAACUGUUCGGUGCUGCUGUAUGACGAGGAGAUUAUGUCCGGUUGGUCAGCAGAGGAUUCCAAUUUGAAUACAACCUGCCACGCAUGCAACAAGUUAACCGUGCCAUUCCUGAGCGUACAAAUUGUUGUGGACGAUUCCCUGAAGGCGCUCAAACAAUCAGACAGCCUGACAAUUCCAUAUUUGAAUCCAUUGGUCUUGCGCAAAGAACUCGAAAACAUACUUACACAGGAAGGUGAUAUCGCACUGGUGAAGUCCUCCUUUGUAGAGGAGCAUCCGAUUAUUUAUUGGAAUUUAUUGUGGAUUAUGGAGCGUAUCGAAAGUAAAACUCAUCUGCCUGAGCUUUGCCUGCCAGUAGCUGCUGACGAGGAAUGCGAUCCGCUAAGCAAAGUAAAGACUGUAAGCAUCCAAUGUCUGUGGGAUAAUUUACGACUACACAGCGAAGCCGGUCCACCCAUGUAUAUAUUAUACAAGCAAAACCAGCCAGCCAGUCCGUUACUGAAAGCACUGCUCACCGACCAGGCGCAUUUGAACAAAAAUGUCAUUCAACAAAUCAUUUCGGCAAUACGCUGCAAUGAUCUCUUAACGCCAGUCAAGCGAUUAGCAAAUGAGCGGCACAAAUUGAAAAAUAACGGCGUCGAUCGAACACACUCCAUCUAUCGUGAUAUACUCUUUUUGGCGCUCACCGCCAUCGGCCGUUCCAAUGUCGAUUUGGCCACAUUCCAUCGCGAAUAUGCCUCGGUGUUCGACAAGCUGACCGAAAAGGAAUGCAAUAUGUUCUAUCGCAAUCAGGAUUUGCCACCUUCAGCGGCAACAAUUUUCUGCCGAGCUUACUUCAAGCCGCUAUUGCUUCCUUGACGUGAUAUCAACUAUCUGCGGCAUGACUUUCACAUCAAUACGAAGGCAAAUACGAAUGCAAAUGACGAAGUCGGACGAAUGUAAUGUGAAGGUGUAAUAUCAGUAGAAAUAAUGAGAAAUCGUUAGUAGGGGUACUCACACACUCAUUUCGUUACAUUGUCGGUUUGGCAAAUUUGUUUUGCUGUGAACGGCCUCUUUGACUUAUUUUUGUUAGUUUGGUAAUGCUCUUGCGCACCAGCUGAUUUAUAGCAAUUUCACUACAUAUAUACAAGGUGGCGCAAAAUCAAUCAGCCAAUUUUGUUUUUGAAUAACUUUUUUACUAAAUAAAAGAAAUGA